rnacentral:lncRNA from 1 species
CACUGGGUUAGAGGACAUGGGGCAGAAGACCUGAGAAGGAAGAGAGGACAGUUCUGUGCCACACUGGUCAUAUUUAGAAGACAUUUUCAUAUUCCAACCAUUGUUCUGUGUGUGCAUUUUAUUUCUCACGACUGUAUAUGUAGUUAACAAUACUAUUUUUUAGGGAGGUGGGGGGGUCAGCCCCCCGCCUGGCCAGCCGCCCCGUCCGGGAGGGAGGUGGGGGGGUCAGCCCCCCGCCCGGCCAGCCGCCCCGUCUGGGAGGUGAGGGGCGCCUCUGCCCGGCCGCCCCUACUGGGAAGUGAGGAGCCCCUCUGCCAGGCCAGCCGCCCCGUCCGGGAGGGAGGUGGGGGGGUCAGCCCCCCGCCCGGCCAGCCGCCCUGUCCGGGAGGGAGGUGGGGGGGUCAGCCCUCCGCCCGGCCAGCCGCCCCGUCUGGGAGGUGAGGGGCGCCUCUGCCCGGCCGCCCCUACUGGGAAGUGAGGAGCCCCUCUGCCCGGCCAGCCGCCCCGUCCGGGAGGGAGGUGGGGGGGUCGGCCCCCCGCCCGACCAGCCGCCCCAUCCGGGAGGGAGGUGGGGGGGUCAGCCCCCCGCCCGGCCAGCCGCCCUGUCCGGGAGGGAGGUGGGGGUGUCAGCCCCACGCCCGGCCAGCCGCCUCGUCCGGGAGGGAGGUGGGGGGGUCAGCCCCCCGCCCGGCCAGCCGCCCCGUCCGGGAGGGAGGUGGGGGGGGUCAGCCCCCCUGCCCGGCCAGUGGCCCCGUCCGGGAGGUGAGGGGCGCCUCUGCCCGGCUGCCCCUACUGGGAAGUGAGGAGCCCCUCUGCCCGGCCAGCCGCCCGUCCGGGAGGGAGAGUGGGGGGUCAGCCCCCCCCCGCCCGGCCAGCCGCCCUGUCCGGGAGGUGAGGGGCGCCUCUGCCCAGCCACCACCCGGUCUGGGAGGUGUGCCCAACAGCUCAUUGAGAACGGGCCAGGAUGACAAUGGCGGCCUUGUGGAAUAGAAAGGCGGGAAAGGCGGGGAAAAGAUUGAGAAAUCGGAUGGUUGCCGUGUCUGUGUAGAAAGAAGUAGACAUGGGAGACUUUUCAUUUUGUUCUGCACUAAGAAAAAUUCCUCUGUCUUGGGAUCCUGUUGAUCUGUGACCUUACCCCCAACCCUGUGCUCUCUGAAACAUGUGCUGUGUCCACUCAGGGUUAAAUGGAUUAAGGGCGGUGCAAGAUGUGCUUUGUUAAACAGAUGCUUGAAGGCAGCAUGCUCGUUAAGAGUCAUCGCCAAUCCCUAAUCUCAAGUAAUCAGGGACACAAACACUGCGGAAGGCCGCAGGGUCCUCUGCCUAGGAAAACCAGAGACCUUUGUUCACUUGUUUAUCUGCUGACCUUCCCUCCACUAUUGUCCCAUGACCCUGCCAAAUCCCCCUCUGUGAGAAACACCCAAGAAUUAUCAAUAAAAAAAUAAAUUAAAAAAAAAAAAAAAAAACAAUACUAUUUUUUGAACUAUCUACCCUUUCUAGAUGUUCUGAAAUGCCUAUGUUAAAAUUAGAGAUAGUAAAAUAACACAUUUUGUAAAUCUUUUUGUUAAAAUUCAUAUGUAAUGUUGUUUUGGUUGGGGGGGGUGGCCAAACCACCUGUUAAUAAUACACAUUGUGUUUGUGCACUGGUUCAGGGGAGGAGAGAGGAAAGGAAGUGUAAGAGCUCUAUGCCAAUGUGCUUAUAGUGAGGCAAGGUUAACCAUUGUCUCAUGCCUGGGCAUUUUGUUUUACUUAUCUGGGUAUAUUGUGGAUCUAAAGGACAAAUGAGUCCUGACUUUACAUCUAGUCUUUCUAGAUGUUAAAGAGGUUGCUAGUGUAUGACAAAAGUAGUUAGUAAACUAAUAUAUUUUGUACAUUUCGUUUUAAGAUUCCCAGGAAAGACAGUCUUCUGAAAAUUUGAGCAUUAUUGCCCAGUGGGUUGAUGGAGAUGGGAAGGUGUAGGCCAGAAUGUUCAUACUUGGAAGACUCAGUCAUAACUGUUUUUACAUGUGUUCACUUUAUUCAAGACUUCUGUGCAUAUAGUGGACGAAUUAACUUCUUACCUGAAACAUCUUAUCUAUGUAGAUGUUCAGAAUUGCCUGAUGUAUGUUAAGUGUAGAGGUAGUAAAAUAUCACCUUGUAAAUAUCUUUUUGCUAAAAUUCUUGGGAAGUACUGUCUUUUGGAAGUGGAAUUGUGAAGCCACCUCUGUAAGCAGUAUAGUACUGUCUAUACUUGUUCAAUGGUUUAGAAAUGGGAGGGAAGAAAUUGCCAAAGGUAAUAUGCUAGUGUGUUCAUACUUGGACAUUUCACUUGCCAUUUUUCUGUCUGUUUUGUGCAUUUUGUUUUGCUGUGUAUGUAGAGUACAUAAUGGACAAAUGAGUCCUAAUUUUGCAACAUUUGGUCUCUAGAUGUUUAAGAAGUUGCCAGUGUAUGACAAAGUAUCUAGUAAAAUUAGCACAUUUUGCACACUUUGUAUUGAAAUUCAUAGGAAAGCUUGUCUUCUGUAAAUGAUUUUUGGGUAUGAAUUUGUUCAGCCAUCUCUAAGCGUUACACAUGCCUGUACCUGUCCACUGGAUUGAAGACAGAGAGAAGGGAGUGAGGAAGGACUGGUUCAAGGUCAAAAUUGUCAUAUUUAGAAGAUACCUCCGAUUAUAGCCACUGAUACAUGUGCAAUUUUAUUUUACAGUGCUAUGUACACAGUGGAAAGUUAUAUGAAAUAUCUGGUCUCUCUAGAUAGUUAGAAAUGCUUGAUGUAUUUAAAAGUAGAAAUAGUAUAAUAACACUUUUUGUAAAUAGCUUUUAAAAACUGAUGGGAAAUACUGUGUUUGCAAGUGGGAUUGUUAAAUCACCUCUGUGAACAGUGUUACUUGUUCAUUCAGUUGAGGAAGGUGAGAGGGAAGAAAUUACAAAAGAUGUUUUGCUAUUGUGUACUAGAAAAUUUCAGUUUAUCCAUUGCCUUAUAUGUUAAAUGCAUUGCAAGUAACUUUGCUAUACUACAUAUUGUGUUAUAUACUGGAAAAAUGAGUCCUAAUUUUAAAAUAUCCACUCUCUAGAUACUAAAGAGGUUGCCAAUGUAUGACAAAAAUAGUAAAGUAACACAUUUUGUACACUUUGUGUUAACGUUUAUAAAAAGACUAUCUUCUGAAAACGACUUUUGGAAGUGAAAUGAUAACAUCAACCCUAAGUGACACAUGGGCCCAUAUCCACCAGGUUGGUGGUGCAGAGGAGCUGGAAGAAAUGAAGGAUUCUAGAUCAGAAUAUUCCUAUUUAGAAGACAGUUUAAGAUAAACCAUGUGUGUAGUUUAUUCAACCCUACUGAUGCAAGAGAAUAGGGUCUGGAGGCAGGAAACAUAAAGCAGAUUCAUGCAGACUUCCUAGAAAUAAAUGAAAUGGAAACACAUCAGCUAUGACAGGACAUAUACUCUCCAACAGAGUAAAUGACUUUGUAACUUUAUUUCAUCCUCUCCAUUUACAUAGGGCGUACAUCAAGUAAAUGACUAGGGUGUAUACUAAGUAAAUGACUUUGUAACUUUAUUUCAUCCUCUUCAUUUACAUAAGGCAUAUACCAAGUAACCAAUGGAAACCUUGAGAGGGUAUUUAAACCCGAGAAAAUUCUGUAACUGGGCUCUUGAGCCCCUAAGCACAGGCCUUCUCCCACCCUGUGGAGCGUACUUUCAUUUCAUAAAUCUCUGCUUUUGUUGUUUCAUUCUUUCCUUGCUUUGUGUGUUUUGUCCAAUUCUUGGUUCAAUAUGCCCAGAACCUGGACACCCUCCACUGGUAACAUAUUUUGGCAAGGCAGCCAGGAGGUAAGCCCAAAGUUUGGGAUUUUUCAUCUUUUCUUUUCCACUCCAUACAGGGGAAUCUCUCCCUCUGUCUCUUUUUCCUUUCCAACUCGGGACCCUUGGUGGGCAGCGCCUAAACACGGAGGCAACCGCAGGUUUCUGGGUGGGGCCAUCCUGAAGGACUUUUUUCUAUCUUUUCUGGUUGUGGUCCCUGAUUCCUAUGUGUGGCGCAGCUCAGGGCAAACUUGCAGCUCAGGGUGAACUUGCAUGUGUUUCAGGCGACGGAAACCCUACUUGACUGGCUAAGGACAAAAGAAGCCUACUCAGCUUCCAUUUCCUAUCAUUACAGUUCAUGGCUAUCAUGCUAGUGGAACAGGAAGCAUGGGAUAAUGUGGCCUUAUCAAAUUAUAAGGAUGCUAAACGCCAGUGAUUACACCCAGGAACCAAAGGACAGCUCACAAUUGCCUCUGGAGGGAAAAUAUGCAAAGCGGCACUGGUGCCCACGUAAGGUCAGAGAUGCCUGACACUCUUAAGACUGGACCCCAAAGGGGGAUUCCCCAGGGGAUCCUCCAGACUUCAACCUCUCCAAAGGGGAUGCCCUUGGCAGCAGUUCUAAGGACUAGUACUAAGCCCUCCUUAGAAUUUUCUCUUGCAGUUGCAAUACUGUUUGGCCCCAAUAUGGUUUGGAUUCUGGCAUUUGCUGUUGAAUGGGAAAGCGGGAUGCAGUUGCAUGUAUCCAGGCUUUGGUGCUGCUGUUCUAAGCAGGGGCAGGCCUAGUUAUUAUGUGAUGUUCUCCUUUGGUGCUGUUUGACCCCAGUGUUCUUUCGAGUCUGGGGAGGUUUGGCCUUUAAAAAUCAAACUGCCAUGGAAAUUGCUUUACCUGAAAUAAUAGUUCACAGCCUUCAUUGGAUUGCUUAUUGGGUACACAAAGUAAAAUUGGCAAGCUUGUAUUGCUAUCUCAUGGUUAGGGUUCCAAGGUAAAAGCUAUUGAAUCUUCAUUUGUGUGUGUGUAUACACAUGUCUAGAUGUGUUUAUUUGCACAUUUGUUAUAUGUUGUGUUUUGGCAUAUAAGUAAAAGAGCACUCAUAAAUUAAGUAAAUAAGUCGAAGCAAUUUUCAAGUUCACAUGACUUAAGUAUAACUUUCCUAAACAGGCUAGUUUUAAAAUUAUUGGUGAAGUAAAAAUAGAAAUGCCUUCAGAAUUGUCAGCAUAUAUUUUUGUCUGGGUUUUAUAUUUGUCUCUGCUAGAUAUUUUGAGGUGUUAGGGUUUGGCAUAGAAGGUUAUAAAACUAUAAACCCAGCCAAAACAAAACGAUCUCGUUUGCGUUUUUUUUUUUUUUUUUUUUUUUUUUUUUGACAAAUGAGCAUAAUUUAAUGUUAGCUAAAUCUUCUGGGUUACUGGCAAAAAUACGUAUGUAUUAACUUUGAGGCUCUUACUUAGGUUUAAGUGCACACCUGGCUAUUCAAAAUGUGGUUAACAGGGAAAUAACUGACUUUAAAAGAUAGUGUCUAACAUUUCGGUUUACAGAGGUAAUCUAGAUAAACUGUUAAAAGUGAAACAAUUGAGUACAGUGAAUGGGACAAAUGUUUUAGAUAAGCUUUUUGUGUAAAGUCUUAAAAUCAUUUUUGAUGCUCAUUUAAGAUCUGGGCCAUUUCCAAUUAGAAAGGUUGUGAUAUGGGGAAAUAUGUUUCUAAAAUUGUGGAAUUGUUCUUAACUAUAAAUUCCCAUAUCUGAUAGUUCAGGAUUUCUAGCUUUUUAGCGUUUCACUAAAGUUUUAGGUUACUAAGGAUAAGAAUUCUAGUUAACACAUAAUUCUGUAUACAAAACAUGCCAGAAAGUUUGUGUUAUUAGUGAGAAAAAGAAUAAUUUAGAAGUUAUCUAAAAGUUAGUUCAAAUUACAGAUUUGAAAAGGUUACUUAUGAAACAAUGUAGUAAGGAACCAGUAAGUAGAGGAGAACGAUAUGGAAAAAGUUUAGAUAAUAAAAUAUUCUUUAAAACCUGAUAGAGAAUUGGAGAUAUUUGGCUAAUUAACAUUUUCAUAGUGAAAGCUGUUAGUCUUGAUAAAAGUAAAAUAAGCAUUGUAAAGAAAUGCAUCGGCAGUUUGGCAAUUCCUUUUUACUAUAGUUAAGCAUGAAGCCGGAUUUGGUGUGGAGCCAAAUUUCACAUACAUGCUUGCAUUGCUUCACACUGUUUACUGUUUUGUGUGGAUAGUGCUGGCACUGGAGUACUUAUUGGUUAUGUGCCUAUAGUGUAUUUCUUGAUUGCACAGGAUGUAUGGUGAUAUUGGUGAACUUAAGGAUACUGAAUUGUGUAUCAGGAACAAAAUAUUCAUUAUGUGGGUUUUGGGGGGCCCUAGGUAAACACUGUAGCCUCCAGGGUAGAUUGAGAAGGAAAAAUUUAGGGUUGGGUUCCUAUUUGUUUUUGCUUCUAAUUUUCAUUUGUUUGCCAUUUAUUCUCCUCUGGCUUUGCUUGUGUAUGCACAUAUAAAAUCAUAUAUAUUUUUUUUAAAUUUCUAGUGGAAGGCUUUUAUUUGGUUCUGUGAAUAGUUAUUUUGUUCCCUAUGCAUUUCUAGCAAGUCAUCAUUUGUUCCAUUUAUCUGGAAUUCCUAGGCUACCUUUGUCAGGCUGGCAGGAAUUGAUGGAGCACACCAGCUUUUUAACCUUGAACUAACUCAAAUUCUGUUUAUGAUACUUUAAGUGUGUUGAGUAUAUUUUCAUAAACAGAAUUUGAGUCAUAUUUCUCUGUCUGCCCAUUUUCUCCAAAAUUCGUAAACUAUUUGUGAAUAUUCUUAAUUCAUGGCAAUGUGUUUGUUUGCAUAUAGUCAAGCAGGGUUCCUAGGGCUGCUUUGGGAGACAGAACCCAGAAACCUGGCAUACUGGCAAAAGGGUAAGAAUUUCUUACCAGCCAGACUCUGGUCUCUGUCUCUCUGUGCAAACUGCAUAAAUGAAUAGUAAAAGUCACUGUUUAUCUCCUCUGUAAAGUUUUGAUUAAUAUAAAAAAAGAAUUCUGAGGCCGAUCUUAAGCUGUAGUGAAUCUGGUGUGCUUUGUGUCUUUCUGUAUUGUUUUGUCAUAAAGAGGGGUACCUUAGAAUAAAAUGUGUGCUUAGGACCCCAUAGACCUGCUGUUCAAGACACACCAGCAGACUGGUCAGUCAUGUCUUUGGGAGCUUGACCUUGUAACCAUGUGGCCAUGCUUUCUCUUUUCACAGUGGCAGCCUGGGUUUAGGGUUCAAUUCCUGGCUUAGGGAAUGAGUCCUUUAUCUUCUGUCUGUGUAUUUAUAUGUGUUGUGUGUGUACUAUAAAAGAGCAUUAAUUAAUUAGCUUAAUAAUAAUAAGAGCUUAAAUCAAAUAUUUUAUCAGAAAAGUAAAAAAUGUAAUGCCUUCUAUUUACUUCAUGUAACUUAAGUAAUCUUUGGGAAAUAAAGACAGUUUUAAAGAUUAUUGGUAAAAUAAAAAUAUCUUCAAAAUGUAAAUAUUUAGUCUAAAUUAUGCAGGUCAGAUAUUAGAUUUGCAAAAUGCUUUAAGGUCAUAAACCGCUUCUUUGACUUUUAAAAAUUGCUCAAUUUAUUUUGGAGCAUUAGAUUCUAGAUAAGGCCUGGGGACAAAUAGAAUUAGCCAUGUCCCCUAGCUAUGCAAAGAAGGUUAUAAAGAAAGGAGAUUUUAUAUAAGAAAGGAUCUUAUAUCGUAAAUUCGUGUCCUAAAGUAAAAUAAGCGGUUGUUAAAAAAGAGGGAUGUUUAGGACAAGUUAGAAAGUCAAAGCAUGUCGUAGAUGGUCUGUGUAAGUCAUGAAAUAAUUUACAAAAGAGAAUUUAUGCAAGAAAUAUACAAUUUAACGGUGAUUAGACCUCCUAAAUGCUUCAUAAAAUGCCACUAUGACUCUUAACUCUACAACUUGCCUGCUUUACAGCUCGGUAAGGCCUGAGACACGUGGAGUCAGAUGCUGGAGUCAGACCUUAAGUGUACUUCUCUCUGGGUCCUAGACUCCACAACUAAUAUAUAAUUAAAAUCCUUAACUUACCAAAGUUUUCACCAAAAGUAAAACUCGCUAAGAGUUAACAUUGUAACAUGUAAGUGAGACUACUGAAGCAACAGUUUUACAUGCAAGUUACGUAAGAAAAGUGAAUGCAUUUUCAGUGAAAGAUUAUAACAAGGCAUGGGAAUGUAGAUUUUUUUUUCUGUCUAAAGGGUUAAAGGAUUGUUUUAAGUUAGGAUAAAGCUAAAAGUUUGAAUGAGUUGUGGAAGAUUUAUAAAAAUUAAUAUUGUAAAAAAUUAUGUGUGUGAACAUAUUGACUAAAUUUAAAGGGGUAUUUUCUGGUUUUUCCAUAAAUUGAACAUCAAAAUAAAAGCACAAACAGGGUUUUCUUAAAGCACCGAUCUGCUCUUUAACAAACAUUUGUAAAGGAUUAUAAAAGGUUUAUGAGAAUCUCACCUUAUGGUCAAACGGAUUAAGAUUGGAAAGAUAUGUCUACAAGGUUUUCUUAAAAAUUGGGGUUGACAUUAAUAGCACACUAAUGCAAGGGUGAAAUUUGGCUUUCUCUCUUGAACAAGAUUUUCAUGCAGUAUUAAAAGAUAAUGAAAGAUCUUUGUUUGCCUUUUGAAUAAACUACCCCCCCACCAAAAAAAAGGAAGGGAAAGACAAGAGACAGAUUGUUUGUAAAGUAAGUCUUCCAUCUAUCAACAUGGAAAGGUUUUUGCCUUUUAAAACAUUUUUGAGUCAUCAUUUUGCUAAAUGAAUGACUAUGGUAACCUGGAAUUCCAUUUCAUAAUGUCAAGUGUUUUAAAUCUUUAACAUAUUUAAUAGGCUUCCCAAAAUCAAAUUUCAGCUUCAAAAUUGUCUUUUCUAACCUCUAACUUUGAGAUGCUGCAGAGGGCCCCUGAAGCAUCCAAAAGAGAGGUAAACAGAAUUAUUUGACAUGUUUAAUUACAUGGGAAGCAUUGUCAAAAAGAAAAAAAUUUAAUCUUCUUCAGGUUAUAUUUUAGUGAAUAAUAUUAAUAUAUGUUCCAAAAUUGUAUGAGAUUUCUAAAAUUCCAAUAUGUCUGAGUAUAUGCUAUCAAUCAUAAUUAUGAUUAUUAUGUUAUUGUAGACCACAGAAAUAACCAAAUUUCCUUGUCAAUUGUGUUUUUAACUAUAACUAUUUAAAGUCAUUUCCACAGUUAAUUGCUUAAUGCUGAUGCAGUUUCUGAAAACUUCACAAGCAUGCAAAGUCCUAGAAUAUGGUGUCUUUUAGGAGAUUCAUGAAAGAUUGGAAAGGACCCUAAAAAGCACUCUUGAAUACAGGUUUCUAAUAAGUUUAGAAUUAUAUCAUUUGAACUGGGUAAGAAUUCCUGGAACUUUAAUGAAAAGACUGACUGAGUUCUAAAACUGCUAACCCAAGUAGAACAAAAAUUAAUUAAAUACCAAGAAAAUACUUUGCCAGAUUUUCAUGCUAAAUCAGCUGAUACUGAAACUGUUUAGAUAUAAAAUUUGAAUAAACUCCAUCAUUUAAAUCAAAUUACCUAUGAUAACCCAUCAGUUAUCAGUGUUAUGCACCUAAUUUGGGGAAACAACUGGUAUUCAAGAGGAUAUGAGUCUAAUGUUAAUUAAGCAUGAACUCAUGGAGAACCAGGAUGGCCACCUUGUCCUUCCUAAGUCGUUAAAGCUUUUGUUAGUAAAAUUUCUGCAUUACAUGACUCGUCACGGAAAAGAUAAAAUGAUCCAAAUUGAAUAUAUUGAUGUGGUGACUUAUAAAUUGCUAAAAUAGUUUAUAACCAAUGUUUGGUCCCAUAUUCCUGGGAAAACAAUCAAAGCUUCAGGUACAUCCAGUCACCUGAUAGGCCAUUUAAACAUUUUAUAGAGGGAUUUUAUUCAAUUGUUAUUUUCAGUGCAUGUUUUCUGGUUGUAUAAAAGCUUUCCCAUGCAAGAGGGCUGAUGUUAUAACACUAAGUUAUUAUGCCACCAAGUAUUUUCACAAGGUAAAGAAAGCUUUUUAUGGUUCACUGAGGACAAUCAACUCCUUCACAACCUAGAAACUGAAGAUUGUAUCUUCUGAAAACAUUGGAUAAAGACUGUCCUUGCCAUCCACACUACAGCAAAACUUCUGGACUUUGAACUUUGGGUUCAUGAUCUCACAACUGAGAAGAGUCCCUCCACACUCUUGGAACUGUACACCCAUUGGAACCCUUAAGGUAAAGCUAACCAGGGAAGUUUCUCUCCCGAAGAAGAUGGCAUCCUUGAUGUGAACAGCUUUUCCCAAGAUCAUGAAUCAAGACUUCUCUAUUAUCAUGAGACUCUUAUCUUUGAAUAUUUUUUCCUUGCUUUUGCCUCUAUGAAGAAUAGAAGUGGAAAAAGGAUCUGUUGUGUACAAUUAUGGGUUAUACUUUUAUUUGUGAAGAAUUUUGCAGCCAGCUUUAGGUCCUUUUUCCAUGAUUUGGAAUAAAAGAGGCAAAUGUAUCCCUCAUAAUAGGCUCCAUAGCAGUUUACUGUAAAGGCUAUGGUUACAUAAUAGACUAAAUUAUCUUAAGAAAGUUAUGCUAAAUAAUAGAGUUGGCUAAACAGAAGAGUAUCUGUGCAGCUGCUGGCACUCAUGGCCUAUGGAGAAAACAUCAGGUAUUAUAGAGAUUCAGUUGUAGCAAAUUAAUGAAGAGACUGCUUAGUUAAGUGAGUAGACUCUUUAGCUCAUUGUUUAAUCUAUUUGAGUUUAGGAGGUUUGGUUUAUGGUGACCCUGGAUAAGGAGCAUACUUACUCUCAACUCUUGGUAUUAUCCUCCUGAUAGUCAUAAUAAUAGUCUCCCUGGUGUGCUGUAUUCUCUCAACGGUUUUAAAUGUUUGCAUGCUGCCACCUCUAGAAUGUCAAAUGGCCUCUCUUCAACUGGAAUGACAAGAGCUGAAAGAAAUUGCAGCCAUGAGGACACUGUAACCUACGAAUGAUGUGCUGAGUCCAAAAGCCCAAAGUGUUGGUAACUGAGAGUGGUGCUAAGUAAGGCCCUAAGUUUUGGUCACACUCUCACUUAAGUGAGAACCUGACCAAAAAAGUGGAAUUUUUUUUUUUUUUUUUUUUUUUGAGAUGGAGUCUCACUCUGUCACCCGGGCUGGAGUGCAGUGGCACGAUCUCGGCUCACUGCAAGCUCCACUUCCCGGGUUCACGCCAUUUUUCUGUCUCAGCCUCCCGAGUAGCUGGGACUACAGGCACCUGCCACCACGCCCGGCUAAUUUUUUUGUAUUUUUAGUGGAGACGGGGUUUCACCAUGUUAGCCAGGAUGGUCUCGAUCUCCUAACCUCAUGAUCUGCCCACCUCGGCCUCCCAAAGUGCUGGGAUAACAGGCGUGAGCCACUGCACCUGGCCAAAAAGGGGAAUUUUUUUUAAACAAAAUUAUGGGAGGUCAUUUUUUUGUACUGAGCCCAUGCGCCAGGCCCCAACAGACCAAACUAAACCAAAACGGAGUCACGUAUGCCAAGACCUUAAGGAAACACAUAGAUCCUAGAACAGACCACAGGCCAGGUUUUGUUUUUCUCCUACAAAUCUCUAUAACAAACAUUCCUGACAGCAUAGAUAUCCACCCCCUGAGUUCCCAUUAAAUCUUUUAACCAAAUUAAUUUCCUCUCGCCAAAAGACCAUCAAGCUUCAGAUGAUCAUGCAACAAAAGUUUCAUCCAGUUCCACCACCCCUGGCCAUCAAGGAGCUACCCUGCCUUCACUAGAAAGAGCAGAGCAGGACUUCUGUGAUCCUCAAUAGGUAGGGACUAGGCCUCAAGCCAACAUGAAGCAGUUACAAAAGAAAGACCAUCGGCCCCUCCACCUCCCAUAAAGAUUUAUGGGGAUCCCAUCUCUGGAGGGAAAUGAGGCAGAAGAAUAGGGUCUGUAGGCAAGGAAUAUAAGGCAGAUGCAUGCUCACUUCCUAGAACUAAAUCAAAUGGAAACACUUCAGCUAUGAUGGGAAAUGUCUUCUGUAUUUACAUAGGGCAUACACUGAGUAACCAAUGGAAACCUCUAGAGGGUAUUUAAACCCCAGAAAAUUCUGUAACCGGGCUAUUGAGCCCCUAUGCUCAAGCCCUCUGCCACCCUGUGGAGUGUACUUUUGUUUUCAAUAAACCUCUGCUUUUGUUGCUUC